rnacentral:tRNA from 1 species
GGUUAUAGCUCAGUGGUAGAGCGCGUGCUUAGCAUGCACGAGGUCCUGGGUUCAAUCCCCAGACCU